CCCUUUGUGAACAUACCUAUAACUGUUGCUUCGGCGGGUAGGGUCUCCGUGACCCUCCCGGCCUCCCGCCCCCGGGCGGGUCGGCGCCCGCCGGAGGAUAACCAAACUCUGAUUUAACGACGUUUCUUCUGAGUGGUACAAGCAAAUAAUCAAAACUUUUAACAACGGAUCUCUUGGUUCUGGCAUCGAUGAAGAACGCAGCGAAAUGCGAUAAGUAAUGUGAAUUGCAGAAUUCAGUGAAUCAUCGAAUCUUUGAACGCACAUUGCGCCCGCCAGCAUUCUGGCGGGCAUGCCUGUUCGAGCGUCAUUUCAACCCUCAAGCUCUGCUUGGUGUUGGGGCCCUACAGCUGAUGUAGGCCCUCAAAGGUAGUGGCGGACCCUCCCGGAGCCUCCUUUGCGUAGUAACUUUACGUCUCGCACUGGGAUCCGGAGGGACUCUUGCCGUAAAACCCCCAAUUUUCCAAAGGUUGACCUCGGAUCAGGUAGGAAUACCCGCUGAACUUAAGCAUAUCAAUAAGCGGAGGAAAAGAAACCAACAGGGAUUGCCUCAGUAACGGCGAGUGAAGCGGCAACAGCUCAAAUUUGAAAUCUGGCCCUAGGCCCGAGUUGUAAUUUGCAGAGGAUGCUUUUGGUGCGGUGCCUUCCAAGUUCCCUAGAACGGGACGCCAGAGAGGGUGAGAGCCCCGUACAGUUGGACACCAAGCCUUUGUAAAGCUCCUUCGACGAGUCGAGUAGUUUGGGAAUGCUGCUCAAAAUGGGAGGUAUAUUUCUUCUAAAGCUAAAUACCGGCCAGAGACCGAUAGCGCACAAGUAGAGUGAUCGAAAGAUGAAAAGCACUUUGAAAAGAGGGUUAAACAGCACGUGAAAUUGUUAAAAGGGAAGCGCUUGUGACCAGACUUGCGUCCGGUGAAUCACCCAGCUCUCGCGGCUGGGGCACUUCGCCGGCUCAGGCCAGCAUCAGCUCGCUGUCGGGGACAAAAGCUUCAGGAACGUAGCUCUCUUCGGGGAGUGUUAUAGCCUGUUGCAUAAUACCCUUCGGCGGGCUGA
rnacentral:rRNA from 1 species